CCUUUAUUGGACAGUUACUGGCAAAGUGGCCGACAGGAAACAAGGGGAGAGAGAGAUGAGUAUGACAUGAAACAAAGGUCCCAUGCCAGACUCGAUCCAGGGCACCAACCAUGUGCAGUAAUUCUUCAGGUGCUGGAGUGUUCCCAUUUGCCAUGUUAACAUUCAAAAAUUAGCACUAAACACAAAGUAUAGCUCAGGUUGAUGGGGAUAUUAGUUUUGCAGGCAAUCGAUCAUAAACCAAAGCAUAGGAAAAACUGACAUUUUGAGCUAAUGGAGGCACUAUGUGAAAAGUUAUCAGCAAAGUGAUUACAAUGCAUCCCGAGUGGGACAUAAAUGUGUGAAAACAGAUUUCAUGGCAAUCCAUUUCAUAGUUGCUGAGACACUUAAAAAAAAACAACUGCAAAUCUCAAUCUCAUGUUGGCGCUGGAGGAAUUUGCCAGAGUCAAAGGACACAUUUUCUAGGAACCAUGAAUGUCUGCUAAAAUUUUAUGGCAAUUCAUUCAACAGACAGACCGUCUGACUUCUCCAUCCGUAGAGUCACGCCACCAGCCUGGAUAAAAACCUGCCUGGUUGUCUGCCAGCUCAUACUGCUGCCUGACUGUUGCACUGUUGAUGAUUGGUAGCUGAGACUAGUGUUAUUGCAGCCUUACCCUACUGCCAGGAAUGAUGCUAGUUUUAAUGUAGGGGAGAACCAGGUCAAAAGUAACACAGCAAUUUUCUCCGAGCCCCUACAAGUCUGACAUACCUAACUGUGUCAGCACAUACAACACACAACACUUAACAGAACUGCAAAAAUAGCUUGAAUAUGUGAUACUUUCACAGAGUUUUACCUGAAAAGCUGUUUUUGAUCACAGUAAGUAAAUUCACUCAAGAAUGACAAGUUGUUUAUUGUUUAAUGAGUCAGAGUCAUGAUCAUUUGACAGAUUAUUUAGUAUUUUAACACAUCCUGAACUUUGCCAUGUCAGAGUUUUUCAGUAUAGAAGCAAGUGAGGUUUAACACACACGUGACUUAUUGAUCACAACAAAAAUCUUUUAAAAUGAUGUUUAUCUGCAAAGUGUUACUUUGGUCCUGGUUCUCCCCCACAGUCACCAUGACUGUACAUCAAUCUGUUCAGUUAAACCUCCUGGUCUCAUUGAAUCCCAUUAUAUUCCAUGUGACUUUUGUCAAAUAAUCAAUCAUUGUAAAGGAAAAUGUGAUAUUUACACUUUGAAAAGUAAAUCAAAAAGUAAAACAAUGGGCUGUAUUACCUAUGAUCAAGUGUCUGGAGAUCAAAUAGUGGACGCUGCAAAGUUACUUGGGUCAUCCUGCUAUAUUUCAGAAACUCCACUGGAGUCCUGUCUCCUGAGGUAAUUAAUUUUCUCCCUCUGUAACUGCAGAAGGAUCAGGUUGCCUGCUGCUGGACGCCCAGCUGUAAACAGCGAGAGCUUAUUAAAAUGCAAUUACAAAUGAUCAUCACCGUCUCAUAAGGUGACAGCAUGUACCAACAAUAAUCCUGAAGCUUGUUUUGUUUCAGCCAUGAUACCGACCUCAUUUCCAAUUGUUGAGAGGGUUUCUUGCUGGCAACUCGGGUGUUAUUGAAAUUUCGGUGCUGGCUUGCUGUCAAACGAUUUCACCAGGUGUCCUCAUUAAAUAUAGAAUUUGUGACACCGUUAUCUACUCAGAAAAGUCACGUUUUAGAGAACUUAUCUGUUUCAUUUCCUGGUUUCAACCUCAACAACGUCUAAAUGAAGAAUCAUUUACGAUCAUACUGUACUUUCUCAAGAAUAUCUGCUCUGAAAUGUUCCGAACAUUCAACCUGACUGAAACCGACAGGUAGGAGUUUCCUUGAAUCUGAAAGGGAAAGGAAAGCAACAGACACACGGUGAUACUGAAAGACUCGGACACAAGAAAAGGUUGCUUUUUUUUUGUAGUCAUGAAAACAGUGGCUUUUUAAUGUAAACACUACAUUCGAUUGGUUUUUCCAGCACGGACAUCCCACAUGAAAUAACAACCAUUCACUAAAGAGGAGUAGAGGGGGAGAGAGAGAGAGAGAGAAAAAAAGCUGCACAGAAAAAAGCAUUCACUGGGUAAAGAACAGAACAUAGAGGAGGUAAAAAAAAGAAUAAUGAAGAUAACGGGAACAGAAUGCCAAAAAACAGGUAUAUCAUGUCAUUAUACACAGUUGUUUUCUCUUUUAAAAACUAGAAAUCAAGAAGGCGAGAAAGAGAGGUCUAGAUAGAUAGAUGAUAGAUAGAUCAAUGAGGGGUAACAUAGAUUAGGUAUGAAUAGAUAACAAAUUUCCAAAUCUACUUAUUGUGUGUGUGUGUGUGUGUGUGUGUGUGUGUGUGAGUGCGAGCAAGUGUGUGUGUGUGUGUGAGACGUGAGAACUGUGCUUUUCAUUGUAGACCUGGAAGGUGUGUGUCAAACUGAAAAGAGACAGAGUAGAAGAAGAAGAAGAAGAAGAAGAAGAAAGGAGCUUGACUUUUUACAGCGUUGAUGUGUGAACAUGCGGCGUCCCUAACUAGCGGACGCAGCGAGAAACGUGCUCUCCCCAAAAAAAGUGGUUUGUUUUUUUUUUCUUUCCUGAAAUAAUAAAAAAUAGAUAUUGUUAUAAUAUUAUAUUUAAUCGUUCUGAGUCAGGCUAAAGUGAGGACACGGUUCUAAUGCAGGGAAACAGGCAAAACGGUAAAAGGAGAGGGGGUGGGGGGGGGCGGGGCACAGUUCAGAGCAUUACAACAACACGGGUCGGUCUGAGAUCGUCGCGGCUCCAAAUCGGCUUGCUGUCAAACUGGAACCCUUUGCAAAACAUCUUUUUUUUUAUUUAAAAAAGAGAGAUAAAGAGAAAAAAAAAAGAAGUUCUGUAGCUACAAAGCACAAGAAAGAUUAUCUUUUGAGAAUAUUACAGGAUCGUCGUAGUUGAUCAUGGUUGUUGUCAAUAUUGUAGUAAUACCCAUGUUCAUUUCAUUGGCUUUAUUAUUGUAGGAACAGGUGUAGAUUUUUUUUUUUUGUAUCCUUUUGUUUGAAUUCUACAUGUCACUGCGAGAAUCCCGAAAUCUACACUUCGUCUUUCCAAACAGCACAUGACCUUUCAACCUUCAAAACUGAUUCUCACGCUUCUUUAAAUAUGACUCCGCUCCAUCCCGUUGAGGAACCAAUCAUCUCUCUCCUUCAAGUUGCUGCCCUCUGUCUUCCUAGCUGUUGGCUCUUUCUUUUCUUUGUUAUAUUUUUUUUUCCCUUUCUUUUUAUUCAUCUUUUUGCAAUUUUUAUUCAAAGUAUUUUUAAAUUAUUAUCUGAACAGUAUCUAUGUGAAGCUUUUUUUUUUCAGUUUUAUGAAUUAACUGGUCUCUUUAUACAAAGGCUUGAAUAUCUCAUGCUAUCUGUGUCUGGGCUUUAGGAGAAAGAGGAGAAGAGGGAGGGAGGGAGAGAAGGGUUGGCAAGAAAGGAGGGGCCCUUUGACCCUCUACGACAACUUCUGAACCCCCCCCAUCCCCCGCCUAACUCAAGACGCCACAGCGCCAUGCAAAAAGAAGGCAAAAAAAAAGAAAAAUGAGAAAUGGAUGGAGGUGAAAGAAGUAAAGGCAUGGUGGUGGUGUGUAAAUGAAGAGAGAGAAAGAGAGAGACAGUGAACAGUUUACUUCUGUGGCAAAGGAGCGUGGGUUUGAAAACAUUCUGAGAGGCUUCUCAUGGGAAGAUCCUUCUUGUUGAGGAAGAGGAUGAUAGAGGUGUCUAUGAAGAACUUGUUGUUGCAGAUCGAAUCGAACAGCAUCAGAGACUCGUG